rnacentral:rRNA from 1 species
UGACCUCAAAUCAGGUAGGACUACCCGCUGAACUUAAGCAUAUCAAUAAGCGGAGGAAAAGAAACUAACAAGGAUUCCCCUAGUAACUGCGAGUGAAGCGGGAAAAGCUCAAAUUUAAAAUCUGGCAGUCUUUGACUGUCCGAGUUGUAAUCUAGAGAAGUGUUAUCCGCG